GGAAGCCGGAAGUUAGGCGUUUGGCGUCACGCUUAGUUCAGUUUCCAGCGGUUCUCUUCUGACAAUCGGGCGGGCUUGAGCCCGGACCUGGGCCUGGGGUGGUUUCCUCUUGCCCAGGUCCAGCGUGCACAACCCAGUUCGUCCCGAGUGAGGAUUGUUUACGUGCAUAGUUAGGUGAGACCGGGCAGUGCAAUUACCUGCCGGCAGAGGGCGUGUUGCGUUAGAGCGGAUCAAAGUGACCACGGUGUAGCUAUGGGCACAGCACUUGUGUACCACGAGGACAUGACAGCCACUCGACUGCUCUGGGAUGACCCCGAGUGCGAAAUUGAGUGCCCAGAGCGCCUGACAGCUGCCCUGGAUGGCCUGCGGCAGCGUGGCCUGGAAGAAAGGUGCCUGUGUUUGUCAGCUUGUGAGGCAUCAGAGGAAGAGUUGGGCUUGGUGCACAGCCCGGAAUAUAUAGCCCUGGUGCAGAAGACCCAGACCCUGGAUAAAGAGGAGCUCCACGCACUGUCUAAGCAGUACAAUGCUGUCUACUUUCACCCGGACACCUUUCACUGUGCCCGGCUGGCAGCGGGGGCUGCACUGCAGCUGGUCGAUGCUGUGCUAACAGGAGCUGUGCACAAUGGGCUUGCCCUGGUGAGGCCUCCAGGGCACCACAGUCAGAGGGCAGCUGCCAAUGGAUUCUGUGUGUUCAACAAUGUGGCUCUAGCAGCCAAACAUGCCAAGCAGAAAUAUGGGCUGCAGAGGAUUCUCAUUGUCGACUGGGAUGUCCACCAUGGCCAGGGCAUCCAGUAUAUCUUCAACGAUGACCCCAGUGUCCUUUAUUUCUCUUGGCACCGCUAUGAGCAUGGAAGCUUCUGGCCGUUUCUCCCAGAGUCUGAUGCAGAUGCAGUUGGCCAAGGGCAGGGCCAAGGUUUCACUGUCAAUUUGCCCUGGAACCAGGUUGGGAUGGGAAAUGCCGACUAUUUGGCUGCCUUUCUGCAUGUGCUGCUCCCACUGGCCUUCGAGGUGACUGUGUGUUUGAUCCUGAGUUGGUGCUGGUGUCGGCUGGAUUUGACUCUGCUAUCGGGGACCCUGAGGGGCAGAUGCAGGCCACCCCUGAGUGCUUUGCCCAUCUCACACAGCUGCUGCAGGUGCUGGCUGGUGGCCGGAUUUGUGCUGUGUUGGAGGGUGGCUACCACUUGGAGUCCCUAGCACAGUCAGUGUGCAUGAUGGUGCAGACACUGCUUGGUGACCCCACACCUCCCCUUCUUGGGCUCAUGGUGCCAUGUCAGAGUGCCCUGGAGUCCAUCCAGAGUGUCCAGACAGCCCAGACCCCUUACUGGACAAGCCUCCAGCAAAAUGUGGCCCCAGUUCUGAGUUCCAGCACCCACUCUCCUGAAGAGAGAUCUCUGCGUCUGCUUGGUGAGAGCCCCACAUGUGCAGUAGCAGAGGAUUCACUGAGCCCCCUCCUGGACCAACUGUGCCUCCGCCCUGCACCUCCAAUCUGCACAGCGGUGGCCUCGACUGUACCAGGUGCUGCUCUGUGCUUACCUCCUGGAGUGCUCCAUCAAGAAGGGUCAGUCUUGAGGGAGGAGACCGAAGCCUGGGCCAGGCUUCACAAAUCCCGGUUCCAGGAUGAGGAUCUUGCCACACUGGGGAAGAUUCUGUGUCUCUUAGAUGGAAUCAUGGAUGGGCAGAUAAGAAAUGCCAUAGCAACCACAACUGCCCUCGCCACAGCAGCAACAUUGGAUGUACUCAUUCAGCGAUGCCUAGCUCGCAGAGCUCAGAGGGUGCUCUGUGUGGCCCUGGGACAACUGGAUCGACCCCUGGACCUUGCAGAUGAUGGGUAUGAUUCUCUAGCUUAUACAUCUCAGUUGUGCAUGGACAGGUAGUGGGCAUGUGACUGGGAAUCCAGGGUCACCGUUGGGUGAGAACACUGCUUCCCAUAGGUGCAGUUUGAGAGUGGAUGCCCCAGAACACAGUGCCAUACCAGGUUGACAGUCACUUACGCCCCCACCCCCCUGGCCCCAAGCUCUCCUCUGUCUUUUAUUGAUAAGCCCUGGGAAGGGUGAGCAGGGUCUCCUGCAUUAUGUGUCUAUGGCCCUGGUGCUUUCUCUUGAGAAGGAGAAUUCUGUGGCUCAACAUCCGGGGCAAGGAUGCAGCCAUCCAGUCCAUGUUCCACUUCUCCACUCCACUGCCACAGACAACUGGAGGGUUUCUGAGCCUCAUUCUGGGUCUGGUACUGCCCUUGGCCUAUGGUUUCCAGCCUGAUAUGGUGUUGAUGGCACUGGGGCCUGCCCAUGGCCUGCAGAACGCUCAAGCUGCUCUCUUGGCUGCAAUGCUUCGGAGCCCAGUAGGGGGCCGAAUUCUAGCUGUAGUGGAAGAGGAAUCCAUACGCCUGCUUGCAAGGAGCCUGGCGCAGGCAUUGCAUGGAGAAACACCUCCCAGUCUGGGUCCUUUCUCGAAGGCCACUCCAGAGGAGAUCCAGGCUCUGAUGUUUCUAAAAGCUCGGCUGGAGGCUCGCUGGAAAUUGCUGCAGGUGGCUGCUCCUCCACCAUAAUAACAGUGAUUGCCAGUCGCUUGAAAUCGGUCAAGGUGGGCGAUUCACACGUGAAAAAUAGCACACUCGGGCCCCAGCGAACCAUGGCCCGAGACCUACGUCCCGUCUGCGGCCCAGGCGUCCUCUACCUCCAGAACAAUAAACAUCGGCCAAACACAACACA